rnacentral:rRNA from 1 species
UACGUAGGUGGCAAGCGUUGUCCGGAAUCAUUGGGCGUAAAGAGCGUGUAGGCGGCCAGAAAAGUCCGCUGUGAAAACUCGAGGCUCAACCUCGAGACGCCGAUGGAAACCAUUUGGCUAGAGUCCGGAAGAGGAGAGUGGAAUUCCUGGUGUAGCGGUGAAAUGCGCAGAUAUCAGGAAGAACACCCGUGGCUAAGGCGGCUCUCUAGUACGGUACUGACGCUGAGACGCGAAAGCGUGGGGAGCGAACAGG